AGCACUGAUUUAUGAAAAGAAGAGCAAUAUGUCAUUGUUAUCUCUUGGAGAACUUAGUUUUUCUUUGGGCAAUAUGGUCUGGUUGUUUGCAAAUAUUUAUACAAGUAAAAAUUAUGGUCCGCCAGUAUAAUCUUCAGAAAAUAUGAAGAACCCUUCAACCACCUCUGUACUUGUGUAUAUACUCUGAUUCAAUAGUUUGGAUUGUUGCUUGUAACACCUAAACCGAUGCACGCGUAAAUUCUGCCCAAGUUCUAUUCUCAAUGUUUCACUUCAAUAAGUAGAUGAAUGUUUGCGACAUCA